rnacentral:rRNA from 1 species
CUCAAAUCAGGUAGGACUACCCGCUGAACUUAAGCAUAUCAA